UACGUAGGUGGCAAGCGUUGUCCGGAUUUACUGGGUGUAAAGGGCGUGCAGCCGGGAAGACAAGUCAGAUGUGAAAUCCCGCGGCUCAACCGCGGAACUGCAUUUGAAACUGUUUUUCUUGAGUACCGGAGAGGUCAUCGGAAUUCCUUGUGUAGCGGCGAAAUGCGUAGAUAUAAGGAAGAACACCAGUGGCGAAGGCGGAUGACUGGACGGCAACUGACGGUGAGGCGCGAAAGCGUGGGGAGCAAACAGG
rnacentral:rRNA from 1 species